rnacentral:tRNA from 1 species
GGUGAGGUGGCUCAGUGGUAGAGCGCUUGCCUAGCAUGCAUGAAGCCCUGGGUUCCAUUCCUCAGCACCA